UCAGGGGAAGCUCAGGGAACGUGAGCGAGUUUUAGCAAAGCAUUUUAAGAAAAGCCGUUAUGGGCGGAGAUGGGCAGAGAUGUUACGGGCGGGUGUGUGCACGUGUUCCGUGUGUAGAAGCCGGCGUGCAUGUGUCCAUGCUGAGGCCAGAGGAGAGCUGUGUCAUCUUCAGGCAUUGGGGGUGUCUGUUUGUGUUUUGAGGCUUGGGCUUCCUGCUGAAAUUUGGCUAGCCAACCGGCAGCUCGCCCAGAGAUCUGCCCGCCUCUGCCUCAUCGGUAGGAAACUACAUCUGCGCACCACUGAGAGGCUCAGGGACGGGAGUCUGAGGAUUGAGGCCCAGGCCUCCAUGAUUAUGUAGAAAACACUUUAUAAACUGAGUCAUCGCCAGCUCCCUUUUUAGUUAAAAAAAAAAA
rnacentral:lncRNA from 1 species